GGGGCCGAACCAGCGCAAAGAUGGCGGCGUCCUUAGACGAUGAAUUACAGUUGGAUAACCAAGACUAUUAUUCUCUUCUCAACGUCAGGAAAGAGGCCACUCAGGAUGAGCUGAAGGCUUCCUAUAGGAGGUUGUGUAUGCUCUACCACCCAGACAAACACAGAGACCCAGAGCUGAAGAGCCAGGCAGAGCAGCUAUUUAACCAGGUGCACCAGGCCUAUGAAGUGUUGAGUGAUCCUCAGUCCAGGGCCAUCUAUGACAUAUUUGGGAAGAAAGGCCUGGAGGUGGAGGGCUGGGAGAUUGUGGAGAGGAAGAGGACCCCAGUAGAGAUCCGUGAGGAGUAUGAGCGGCUGCAGCGAGAGAGAGAGGAUAGGAGGCUACAGCAGAGGACCAACCCCAAGGGUACCAUUAGCGUGGGAGUAGAUGCCACAGACCUGUUUGAUCGCUAUGAUGAGGACUUUGAGGAGAUGCCAGGAGGAGGAUUCCCUCACAUCGAGAUCAACAGGAUGCACAUCUCCCAGUCUAUUGAGGCUCCGUUGACUAACUCUGACACUGCAAUGCUGUCUGGCUCUCUCUCCACACACAACGGCAACGGAGGAGGCAACAUCAACAUGACUGUCCGCCGUGUCACCUCUGCCAAGGGCUGGGGAGAGUUGGAGUUUGGUGCAGGGGACAUACUGGGACCUCUGUUUGGGAUGAAGGUGUUCCGUAACCUGACUCCACGAUGUUUCCUGACGGCUCAGUGUGGUAUGCAGUUCUCUCCCCGUGGUGUGCGUCCCAGCUGUUCUUUAAUGACAGCUCGUCACCUAGACCAGAACACGAUGGGUUACCUGCAGUGGCGAUGGGGACCCCACAGCUCUAUGACCACUAGUGUGGUCCGAGACACCAAGACCAGCCACUUCACCCUGGCACUGCAGCUGGGUGUACCUCACUCCUAUCUGAUGAUGAGUUACCAGUACAAGUUCCAGGAUGAGGACCAGACCAAGGUCAAGGGAUCGAUCAAGACUGGUUGGUUUGGUACAGUGGUGGAGUAUGGAGCAGAGAGGAAGAUCAGUCGGCACAGUGUCCUGGCUGCUACUGUCAGUGUCGGAGUGCCACAGGGAGUCACCCUCAAAAUCAGGUUGGCUCGUGCCAAUCAGACCUAUCUAUUCCCAGUCCACCUGACAGACCAGCUGCUGCCCAGUGCAGUGUUCUACGCCACUGUGGGGCCUCUACUAGUCUACAUGGCCAUACACAGACUGGUCAUUAUACCAUACACAUGCUCCCAGAAACAACAAGAUCUGGAGCUACAGAGGAAGAGCUCAGAAGUAGACAUGGUCAAGAAGAAACAAGAGGCGGAGUCAGCCGUUCUGCUGAUGCAGGAGUCUGUGAGGAGAAUCAUCGAGGGAGAGGAGUCUAAGAUGGGUCUGAUCAUCCUGAAUGCGUGGUAUGGAAAGUUUGUGACAGACAACAGCACGCGCCAAGAGAGAGCUCAGGUUAUAGAUGUUACUGUCCCUCUGCAGUGUCUGGUCAAGGACUCCAAACUCAUACUCACAGAGGCAUCAAAGGCGGGGUUGCCAGGUUUCUAUGACCCGUGUGUAGGAGAGGAUAAGAGUCUGAAGCUGCUGUAUCAGUUCAGGGGGGUGAUGCACCAAGUCCUCUCAGCAGACACUGAGGCUCUACGGAUACCCAAGCAGUCUCACAGAAUCGAUGCUGAGGCGUAGGAACCCUCUGUUAUGGGAGCAACAAGGGGCAAGUGGAGACAGACAGAUACAGGCAGGCGGGACGGACGGACGGACGGACGGACGGACGGACGGACGGACGGACGGACGGACGGACGGACGGACGGACGGACAGACAGACAGACAGACAGACAGACAGACAGACAGACAGAAGGACUGACAAGCAGAGGUCGAGAGUCAAACAAAGGGAAUAGAAAUUCUCUCUCUUUACCCAUCACAUUUAUGAAUUCAGACAUGAGUUCCUCUUCUCUCUCCGCUCUCAAAACCCACUAGAUUCCUCUCUUUUAGCCAUUGUAGUUUCCACUGUGUGUGUGUGUCUGUAUGUGUGCGUGUGUGCGUGCGUGUAAAAUGUACUGAAAUCUCCCUCUCUCCUCAUCUCCCCAGAAAGGUGCAAUAUGACUCACGGUGUACAUAUCAGUGAAGUCUGCUACAGUUAAUAUUGUAUAACUAAUGUACCACUGUACUAUACUAGUUGUACUCAUGUUUUACACUACUAACUCAUGCGUUACGGUUAGAACAGAACUAUGCAUGAAAACGUGUUCAUCAGUACCACUAUACUGACACCCAGCACUACACUUGAAGGCAAAAAAAAUAUUGUUUUGUUAAUAAUUGACGUAUUAUUAUUAUUAUUCCUUGGAAGCGAUGUGUCUGCUGCUGUUGUUGUGUGGGGCAGGGUCUAAUUAUCUGAGUGACAGUCAUUCUAAUAACACAUAAGGGCACACCCAUAAGGGUUGAAAAGAAUUCAGAGAAUAUUAACACUGGUCUAUUUUUAAGGCACCCCCAGUAGCCAAUGUGUGAUUGGAGCCCUGGUAGGCUGGGUUGAGUUGAUAUGACUGAGAUGGAUGCUGGGGAAGCACUGCCUGAGCAACAGUGAAGAGUAGAGAGAACGUCCAAUGAUGUCAUUCAUUCGGAAAGUAUUCGCUAUUUUCCACAUUUUGUUACUUUACAGCCUUAUUCUAAAAUGUAUUAAAUAAAUAAAGAUCCUCAGCAAUUUACACACAAUACCCCAUAAUGACUAAGUGAAAACAGGUUUUUAGAAAUGUUUGCAAAUGUAUUAAUAAUAAAAAAAUAGAAGUACCUUAUUUACAAAAGUAUUCAGACCCUUGUCUAUGAGACUCAACUGAGCUCAGGUGAAUCCUGUUUCCAUUGAUCAUCCUUGAGAUGUUUCUACAACUUGAUUGGAGUCCACCUAUGGUAAAUUCAAUUGAUUGGACAUGAUUUUGAAAGGCACACAGCUGUCUAUAUAAGGUCCCACAGUUGACAGUGCAUGUCAGAGCAAAAAUCUAGCCAUGAGGUUGAAGGAAUUGUCCGUAGAGCUCACAACAGGAUUGUGUCGAGGCACAGAUCUGGGGAAGGGUACCAAACCAUUUCUGCAGCAAUGAAGGUCCCCAAGACCACAGUGGCCUUCAUCAUUCUUAAAUGUAAGAAGUUUGGAACCACCAAAACUCUCCCUGGAGCUGGCUGCUGAACAAUCGGGUGUGAAGAGCCGAGGUCAGGGAGGUGACCAACAAUCAGGCCUUAAUGGUAGAGUGGCCAGACGGAAGCCGUUCCUCAGUAAAAGGCACAUAACAGCCCGCUUGGAGUUUGCUAAAAGGCACUUAAAGACUCUCAGAUCAUAAGAAACAAGAUUGUCUGGCCUGAUGAAACCAAGAUUGAACUAUUUGGCCUGAAUGCCAAGCAUCAUGUUUUGAGGAAACCUGGCACCAUCCCUACAGUGAAGCAUAGUGGUGACAGCAUGAGGAUGUUUUUCAGUGUCAGGGACUGGGAGACUAGUAAGGAUUGAGGCAAAGACAAACGGAGCAAAGCAUAGAGAUAUCUUUCAUGAAAACCUGCUCCAGAUCGCUCAGGACCUCAGACUGGGGCGAAGGUUCACCUUCCAACAGGACAACGACCCUAAGCACACAGCCAAGACGACACAGGAGUGGCUUCAGGACAAGUCCCUGAAUGUCCUUGAGUGGCCCAGCCAGAGCCUGGACUUGAACCAAAUCAAACACCUCUGGAGAGACCUGAAAAUAGCUGUGCAGCAACACUCCCCAUCUUACCGGACAGAGCUUGAGAGGAUUUCCAGAGAAGAAUGGGAGGAACACUCCAAAUACAGGUGUGCCAAGCUUGUAGCGUCAUACCCAAGAAGACUUGAAGCAUCUUUGGCAGCGAUUACAGCCUCAACAAAGUACUGAGUAAUGGGUCUGAAUACAUAUACAGUUGAAGUUGGAAGUUUAUACACUAAAUUGACUGUGCAUUUAAACAGCUUGGACAAUUCCAGAAAAUGAUUUAGAAGCUUCUGAUAGGCUAAUUGACAUAAUUUGAGUCAAUUGGAGGUGUACCUGUGGAUGUAUUUCAAGGCCUACCUUCAAACUCAGUGUCUCUUUGCUUGAAAUCAUAGGAAAAUAAAAAUAAAUCAAAGACCUCAGAAAAAAAAAAAUUGUAGACCUCCACAAGUCUGGUUUAUAUUUGGGGAAAAUUUCCGAACGCCUGAUGGUACCACAUUCACUCAAAGAUGCAUAUCGUUCAGUCUAGCGGAAGAGGGCUCAGCAUACUUUUCUCAGACUAGCAAACUGAAAAGUAGAAAAAGUACCUGGCUGAAAAUGACUAAUCUGCUGUAUAGCCAACUGCCAGCGCUAGUGUAAAAAAACUAAAUUGUCUUCAUUCACAUUCAUUCCAAGCACUGUGGUUGGACUGCGACUGAGGUAGUGACAACAUACUGUCCCCUAAAUGAACACGAGUACCAGAGUUGAGGAAGAUGACCGGUUGAGAUCCUGAUGUGCUGAAGGGUUAACCCUAACCCUAACCCUACUCCUAACCCUAACCCAGUUAAAAAGGUGAGACAGAGCUCUGCAGAGUCUGCCUGCCAGUUGGGAUGUGCACAGUUAUUUGAAUAUCAGUGUUAGUAUUCAAAUACUUGUAGGAGUAUUCAUUUGUGAAAAAUGUGUUACAUAAGGGUAAAGAGAGACAUUUAAAAUUACUUUUAUUAAAUUCACUUCAGUGUAGUUAAGACCACCGCAUGACCCAUAAAAAGAAUGGUAUCCUUCACGUGUGUCGCUUGUUUAUGUUGGCAAAUCAAAGCGGAAGAGGAGUACAAGUUCACUAAUGCAAUGCAAGAUGGAAUACAAUUACAGAAUUAAAAGUUAGCUAAAAGGAGGACUAGGCUACAAUGAGCAACCCAACAGGUAGGCUGUUUUAUCUGAAUGGCAUUGGGAAAAAAGCAGAGCAUGUGCCCUCAAUAAGCCUAGCUAGCUACUCUAGGCUACUCCAUGCAAGACAGGCAUGGUUAUAUGGGAUGAUAAACAAUAGUGGUUGCUACAAGUUCUCUAGUUUUGCUGUAGUCAAGUUCCCUUAGAGAGUCUCUCUCCCUCAGUCUGCUCGGCACAUAUGCCGACCAAUACCCUCCGCAGCUGUAGCAAUAGUGCACAAGUCUCAUCUUUGCGCAGUAGCGCUCAGGUUAAAACAAAUUUUAAAAAAUAAAAUGUUUUGAAUAUCUGACAAAAAGUCCUGAUACUAUUUGAAGUCAAAUGAUUUCAAACACCCAUCCCUUCCUGCCAGUCACAAUUCAACUAAGCUUGGGCAGUAUACCGGGCAGUAUACCGGGCAGUAUACCGGGCAGUAUACCGGGGUAUUUGGAAAUAGCCACAGGGUGGUUUUUCAAAUCAAUUUGAAGAUUUGUAGCUACUUUAAGUAAAAUACUUAGUCAACUUCUGCAAUACACGUUAGGAGAUAAGGACUGCGUUCUUCAUUUCACCCAUCACAAUUUUUCAUCAUGACACUUACCGGUAGUUCUCAGUCGUGAGGUGUUUGUUUACAAGGUCACAAUGACGAGACCAGAGCCUUGAGUGAGUCACUUUUAUUCAGCACGCACCAGGUGAUCGCGUUACAGUAUGGAAUUCACAACCAAAUGUUCGCCCGCUAGAUAUCUUAGCUAUUAAGUUAACCGUGUAAAAAUGUGCUAAAUUCUCUGUAGUGGUGCAUUAGGUUUGCUAAUUUAGUAGCUAGUUAGCCAUCUAGCUAAGUGGGUAGCUUCUUCCAAAAAUCAAGCUUCACAUGACAGCAGAGAAUCUCUCUCUGCUUUUUAGCAUUUAAUUAGCAUGCUCUAUGGGAUUUUACAUGUACUUGUUAGCAUUGCUAACAUUUGGAUUACAAAGGCGGAGUGGGGUAUCCUGGUAUGGCACAAGAUUGGUAUGUAGGUAUGACAAUCUGGAUACCACCCAAGCCUAUAUUACACAACACUCUCCCCCAUUGUCUUCUGAACUAUCACUCACAUGCUGGUUACAUAAACUACCUACAUCUCCCUCUAUUUCGCUACCCUCACACACACCUCGCUGAAUACACACUCCAUCUCAUUACACACACACACACACACCUUACUCAUUACAUAAACGCUGCUUUCAUUACACACUCCCUCUGUCCACCUCUCAUCCUCUUUAUCUUGUCACGGAGACAAAAUCUCAGUACAGUUUGAAAUAACUGUUGGUUAAGUAGUACAACAGUGAUUAUUGGAUGCCUAACACCCAGAGAUCUCCUGUUCAAUAGCCGUGUAAGGCCCGGUCUGUAAAACAACCCCUUGCACGGGACAAACUCUUCUGCAUUAUGGGGAUGGCUUUAAUAGCAUUCAAAUGGGUUGAAUGGAACUCAGGAAUAUUGCUUAUCCAUUCAUCUGAUAGAUCUGGGUGAUGGGAAGGGACAGGGGCCUGUACUGCAACUAUACAUCACACCUCCAGACACUGCCCUAAUGGAGAGAACUGAGACAAGGACAUUUGGGUAAUUUAAAUAGAGUAGUGUUCUUCACACAUACACAGCAGAGCUGAGCUGCUGGCAUAGAAAAAUGGGCUCUGUCAGUGAGAUGGAGAACACAGGGUUUUGUGAGGCUAGAGAAAACACAUUGAUCUUUAUAGUUUAUCCAUCUACUCUGUACCCAUAGACUGAACAAACCCACGGUCACAAUAUUGCUGACAUUUUCUGUUUUACUGGGAGGGGUGGGAAUCAGUAAGCACAGAGAGGAACGGGGAAGAAACAGUUUUCCUUGAGAAAAAAAAAACAAUCAAACUGAACGUUGGACACUGAUGACAGCUCGACCUACAUGAUGCACACUAACAUCUAGAAGCAAAAUCAAUCUCAUAUUUACACAUGCACAGAAAACUACACUGUCAGAGGUUAUUGGCACAACACAUUUGAAUUAGCCUAAAUUGUUGUUCUCCCACUUUGAGCCAGGCUGUCCUCUAGCCCAGGGAAACAGGCUGAAUCCUCAGCCAAGUUGCAUUAAUAGUGUGACAGAAGACCAUUUACACCCACCCGCCGUACUAUUGCUCGCCCUCCAUCCGCCCUCUGACCAGCCAGCCUUCCCCUCCCCCUCCCCGUGCAGACAGUGGGUCACUGCGGCUUUAAGCUGAGGCAUAACGUCAUCGGUUUAGAAGCGCUGCACAGCAUAGCACAGCUCAAUCAGCACACAUAGCUAGAUCACAACAACGCACAGCAUAGAACUCAAAGCCACUCACUGACAUCUCACAAAAGUGAUUCAGAGUACCCUGCAGCAGGUGAUAACAGACACUGCCACAAUGACCGUAUAAUCGUGUAACAGAUGGUUAUGAUGAAGACAGUCAUGAAAAUAAGAACCAUCAUAAUGGUUAGGGAACAAAAAUAAAAAUGGGUGGAACGAACAGCUGACAGAAUUGCCAGGCAUUGUUGUUGAGUCAAUUUCUGCGGUAACUUUCGGUUACUGGCCCAGUGCAAAUACAAACGUGAUUUUCUUGGCAAUAGGUAGCCUAGUGGUUAAGCGUGUUGGGCCAGUAACCGAAAGGUCACUAGUUCGAAUCCCCGGGCAGACUAGGUUAAAAAUCUGUCAAUGUGCCUUUGAGCAAGGCACUUAACCCUAAUUGCUCCUGUAAGUUGCUCUGUAUACAAGAGUCUGAAUGCUUAAAAUGUAAAAAUAUGGUGAAUGUUUAAUACAAUACUUUAAAAAAAUGGAUUAAAUUGAAACUGUCUAUGCUAGUGAGACAAUACCCCACCCAUAAUGUCAAAGUGGAAUGUUUUUUUAGAUUAUGCUUUUAUUAAAAAUGAAGUCAAGUAUUCAACCCCUUUGUUAUGGCAAGCCUAAAUACGUUCAGGAGUAAAAAUUCGCUAAGAACAAGCCACAUAAGUUGCAUGGGCUGUGUGCAAUAGUGUUUAACAUGAUUUUCGAAUGACUACCCCAUCUCUGUACUCCACACAACUACUUGUAAUGUCCCGCAAUUGAGUAGUGAAUUUCAAAACAGAAUCAACCAAAGACCAGGGAUGUUAUUCAAUGCCUCACAAAGGGAACCUAUUGGUAGAUGGGUAAUAAAGGGGGCAAAAGCAGACAUUGAACAUCCCUUUGAGCAUGGUGAAGUAGAUUACACUUUGGAUGGUGUAUCAAUACAUCCAGUUACUACAAAGAUACAGGCACCCUUCCUAACUCAGUUGCCGGAGAGGAAUGAAACCGCUCAGGGAUUUCACCAUGAGGUCAAUGGUGACUUUAAAACAGGUACAGUUUAAUGGCUGUGAGAAGAAAACUGAGGAUGGAGCAACAACAUUGUAGUUACUCCACAAUACUAACCUAAAUGACAGAGUGAAAUUGAAGCCUGUACAAAAUAAAAAUCUUCCAAAACAUGCAUCAUGUUGGCAAUAAACUGCAAAAAAAGUGGCAAAGAAAUUACCUUCGUGUCCUGAUUACAAAGCAUUAUGUUCAGGGAAAAUAUGUCACUGAGUACCACCUCAUAUUUUCAAGCAUUGUGGUGGCUGCAUCAUGUUAUGGGUAUACUUGUCAAUGGCAAGGACAAAAAAUUAACUUAUUAGAACUAAGCACGGGUAAAAUCCUAGAGGAAAACAUGGUUCAGUCUGCUUUCCAACAGACACUGGGAGACAGAUUAACCUUUCAGCAGGACAUUAACCUAAAACAUGGCUAAAUCUACACAAGCUGAUUAGCAAGAUGACAUUGAAUGUCACCUUGACAGAGCUUGAAGAAUAUUAAAAAAAUGCACAUCUUAAGAGAAACCUACACAGCUUUAAUCGUGGCGAAAUGUGAUGAACAUGCAUUGACUCAGGGGUGUGAAUACUUAUGCAAAUGAGAUAUUUCUGCAUUUCAUUUUCAAUACAUUUCUAAAAACAUGCUCUCACAUAGGGUAUUGUGUGUAGAUGGGUGAGAGAAAAAAUGCAAUCCAUUUUGAAUUCAGGCUCUAACAACAAAAUGUGGAAGAGGUCAAGGCGUAGGAAUACUUUCUGAAGGCACUGUAUAGGCUAUAUUUCCUCUUUGUGAAAAUGAUAAUCCCUUUUAGUGUAAGAGCGGUUUGAAAAGACCUAACACUUCAGCCUGUUUUGGUGCUAAAUUAGUUAGAUCAGUAAGUGAGCUCGAAUCCUCUCUACCAAUAACGGCUAAACUCAACAAAAAAAUUUUCAGCAAAAUUAACAUGUGUAAAUAUUUGUAUGAACAUAAGAUUCAACAAAAACUGAACAGCUUCCACAGACAUGUGACUAACAGAAAUGGAAUAAUGUGUCCCUGAACAAAGGGACACAAAUCAAAAGUAACAGUAUCUGGUGUGGCCACCAGCUGCAUUAAGUACUGCAGUGCAUCUCCUCCUCAUGGACUGCACCAGAUUUGCUAGUUCUUGCUGUGAGAUGUUAGCCCCACUCCUCCACCAAGGCACCUGCAAGUUCCCGGACAUUUCUGGGGGGGAAUGGCCCUAGCCCUCACCCUCCGAUCCAACAGGUCCCAGACGUGCUCAAUGGGAUUGAGAUCCAGGCUCUUCACUGGCCAUGGCAGAACACUGAAAUCAGCCAUUCUGCUCGUUCUGUGAGUGGUGGCAAUGUCAUGCUGGAGAGUCAUGUCAGGAUGACCCUGCAGGAAAGGUACCACAUAAAGGAGGAGGAUGUCUUCCCUGUAACGCACGGCGUUGAGAUUGCCUGCAAUGACAACAAGCUCAGUCCGAUGAUGCUGUGACACACCACCCCAGACCAUGAAGGACCCUCCACCUCCAAAUUGAUCCCGCUCCAGAGUACAGGCCUCGGUGUAACGGUCAUUCCUUCGACUAUAAACACACAUCUGACCAUCACCCCUGAUGAGACAAAAGCAUGACUCAUCAGUGAAGAGCACUUUUUACCAGUCCUGUCUGGUCCAGCGACGGUGGGUUUGUGCCCAUAGGCGACAUUGUUGCCGAUGUUGUCUGGUGAGGACCUGCCUUACAACAGCCCUACAAGCCCUCAAUCCAAACUCUCAGCCUAUUGCAGACAGUCUGAGCACUGAUGGAGGGAUUGCGCAUUCCUGGUGUAAC